GUGUCAGCAGCCGCGGUAAUACGUAGGUGGCAAGCGUUGUCCGGAAUUAUUGGGCGUAAAGGGCGUGUAGGUGGAUCCUUAAGUCGUGUGUCUAAGUGCGGGGCUCAACCCCGUAUAGGCGCAGGAAACUGGGGAUCUUGAGUGCAGGAGAGGAAAGUGGAAUUCCCAGUGUAGCGGUGAAAUGCGUAGAUAUUGGGAGGAACACCAGUGGCGAAGGCGACUUUCUGGACUGUGUCUGACACUGAGGCGCGAAAGCUAGGGGAGCGAACGGGAUUAGAUACCCCGGUAGUCCUAGCCGUAAACGAUGGGUACUAGGUGUAGAGGGUAUCGACCCCCUCUGUGCCGCAAGCAAACGCAAUAAGUACCCCGCCUGGGGAGUACGGCCGCAAGGUUGAA
rnacentral:rRNA from 1 species